GUAAAGAAUUAUUUGGCCCCAAAUGUGUAUAAUGCCAGAGAUGAAAAGCCUUUCCCUAAAGUAUGAAAUAAAUUCAGAACUAAGAAGGCAGAAGUUUUCAACCUGAUGAUGAGAACCAACUUUGCUUUUAUAGAUGCCCAGCAAGGGGGCAGACUCCAUCAUACAGCUACACUGGGAAGCAAUGCAGAAGAAGCAGGGACCAGGAGAAGGCAUGUCUGGGACUAGUAUGAAUCAUCCUGUGGCCAUCAGACUACUAGCAACCAAAGUAAAAUGGCAAAGAUGCUGUAUGUGGAAUGUUAGUGAAAAGGGUCAUAUAAAAAGAAACACAACUGUCAACAUUUCCCCGUGGCACCUUGGAGAAGCUCCUCAGUUCUCCUUUCUAUUUGUCUUCCAGAACCAGCUCACCUGCUUGCCUCAGUCUGUGGUUCAGCCCUCCAUCUGCCUCCAGUAUGGUGGGCUUCUGCGGGCAAAUGUUAAGGCUGUUGAUUUCACUCUUGUUCAUUUGCAGCAUGGUUAGGAAGUACAUGCAUGUUGCUA
rnacentral:lncRNA from 1 species